rnacentral:rRNA from 1 species
UACGAGUGCCCCAAGCGUUGUCCGGAAUUAUUGGGCGUAAAGAGCUUGUAGGCGGUUUGUCGCGUCUGCUGUGAAAUCUCAAGGCUCAACCUUGAGCUUGCAGUGGGUACGGGCAGACUAGAGUGUGGUAGGGAGACUGGAAGUUCCUGGUGAUAGCGGUGAAAUGCGCAGAUAUCAGGAGGAACACCGGUGGCGAAGGCGGGUCUCUGGGCGAACUACUGACGCUGGAGGAGCGAAAGCCGUCGGGAGCGAACAGG